AUGUUUGUAUAAAGGAGAGACGGUUGGCAUCUCCCCUGACAGGGACGGGAACAGUCUUCGGACUUUACCUGUUAUCAGACACAUCUAGUUAAGGCUUCCCACUUCGGUGGAUCUUACCCAAAAAAAAUUUUU
rfam:Nicotiana attenuata strain TT chromosome 2, whole genome shotgun sequence.